UGAACGCUGGCGGCGUGCCUAAUACAUGCAAGUCGAGCGACCAGAUGAGGAGCUUGCUCCUCUGACGUUAGCGGCGGACGGGUGAGUAACACGUGGAUAACCUACCUAUAAGACUGGGAUAACUUCGGGAAACCGGAGCUAAUACCGGAUAAUAUAUUGAACCGCAUGGUUCAAUAGUGAAAGACGGUUUUGCUGUCACUUAUAGAUGGAUCCGCGCCGCAUUAGCUAGUUGGUAAGGUAACGGCUUACCAAGGCAACGAUGCGUAGCCGACCUGAGAGGGUGAUCGGCCACACUGGAACUGAGACACGGUCCAGACUCCUACGGGAGGCAGCAGUAGGGAAUCUUCCGCAAUGGGCGAAAGCCUGACGGAGCAACGCCGCGUGAGUGAUGAAGGUCUUCGGAUCGUAAAACUCUGUUAUUAGGGAAGAACAAAUGUGUAAGUAACUAUGCACGUCUUGACGGUACCUAAGCAGAAAGCCACGGCUAACUACGU
rnacentral:rRNA from 1 species